GAUUUGAGGAAGGGUCCCCAGGGGGCGCUCCCCUGGGAAGCGGGAGGAAGGAGGGGUGAGAAGAGUCCCGAAGCGGGCCUCCACUCUUUUCCUCGGUCUCCGCAUGCCGGCUUAUCAGCCCAGCACGGUGGGCGCCGGCGACUGAAAGCCCCGCAGUGCGCUGGCUCCUGGUUUCUGGUUUCGCUUUGCGGCGUAGUUGGGGUGAUCGGACCCAUUCGUGCAGCCCCAGGGGUCCCGUUAUUAAUUGUUGUCAGCUGGAAAACCUAGGCGUCAUCGUCACCGAAAUUUUUCUUAGACGAAUAUUUAAUCCUUACUGUUUCACCGGUUACUCCUUGCGGUCUGUCCAUCCGCAGCUUUUGUUUGAGUCAGUUUCCAUGGUGUGUGGUUUCCCAGACCGUUACUCUUACAUAUUUUACGUACUACAAAAUGCUCUUCAUUUGAAUAUUUACAGGGUGCAAAUUGAGCUGUUGGAUGACUAUGGGUGUUUUGCACUCAAGUAUUUUUAGGGUUUACGUCUCAUAUAAUCAGUAUAAGGCCGGGAAAAUUGGGCCACAGGGGAAAACGCUGGCAGGAGCAUAGGCUCUAAACUUACGAUAAGGAUCUCUAGACUUAUUGCUUAAUAGAUGUAUAGAAUAGUAGAAUUUUUUAGUUUAAUCAGAUUAUUUUUCUUUUAAGGAAAACUUGUUUCAAAAAAUAAUGAGACUGUUCUAGUUCCACUUCUGGUUGAGACAACUGUAUCAUUUGGAAAGGUCUGACCAAAGCAGAUAAUAAGCUAUUUGAUUUGAACCUAAUACGAAUAUUGUUAGUGAAUUCAUGCUAUUAAUAUAAACAUGGGGAAAACUAGGAAUCUUAUUGAAAGACAGUGCUAAUUUUAAGGAAAAGUAAUAGUAAUAAGUUAUACUACACCGGGGGCUUUAUGUUAUUUAAUUUACUUUGGCAGGAUUAAAAUAAAAAGGACAGUACAAAAGUAUUGCAGGAAUAAACUAUUUGACCUCUUGCCAUAUGCAAGAGGGAUAGUCUACUUAAGAUUGCUUCUUAUUUUUGAUCUGGUUUAUAGCCAGCUUUCACUUUUUUGUCUUGAGCUCUUUAUAACUUAUGCCUUUAUAACCUAUUUGUAAAAAAUAACUGCACAUUUAAUGACGUUAGAUUGUAGGAAAUAGAUUAUUUUAAUCGUUUGAAAUUCAGAGUUAAGGAGAUAAUUUUUACAUUUAUUUAUUGUUAGAAUUUUCAGUGACCUUUCACAUAUACAAUCUUAUUUGAUCCUCAUGCCAGUCCUCUGAGUUAGAAAUGCCAAGAAGUAAAGUCUUUUCCCAUGACAGAAGCAUUUCGAGAUUGUGUAAGGAUCAGAAUUUCCCUAAAGCCUGAAAUAAUCUUGAAGUAACCUUUGAUAUAAAUUGGAAUUCAGCUAAGUAUUGGAACACUGUGAAGUAUAACAUGGGACAGACUCUGGACUCUUUGCAAGGAGAUGAAGUACAUACAUGGUGAAAGAUUUUUGGUGAGAAACAUGAAAUGUAGUCAUUUCCCAAAAAUAAAGGAAUAAGUAACAGCUUUCUUUAGUGUUGUUUUUAAACUUUUUUUUUAAGUCUGCAUGUGAUUUCAGGAGCAUUUUGAUAAAUAGGUUAGUCCCAAAGAGUCUGAGAUAAGCUCAGUUUGUUUGUCUGUAAAAAGGAGCAUGAAUUUUAUACUAAUACUUAAGAAUGCAUAUAUAAAAAUAAAUGUUCUUUUCAAAAGUUACUCUAGAAGGCUAUGUAGGUCAAUAUCUAUGGGUCUAUCAGGGAAAGAAAGCCCUUUGGAAAAUAAAAAGAAUGGAACAUGGUUUCUACCCUUAAAGAAUUUAAAGUCAGGCUUGUAGUCAAGUAGGGUAGGUUUUUACAGAACUGUGGUAAAAUGUCUUAUGACUAUUACAAUCAGGAAUUUAGGUGAGGGAGACAUUACCUGUGAUUGAAUCUUGAUAGAGAUGAUAUUUGAGAUGAGUGAGCUUUGCAAGGUUUUCAACAGGCGAAUAUUGGAGAACAUUUCUAAAAACAAUAGAUUAUUGCGUUCCUGGAAAGGUACAACUUAUAUUUGAGAAAGGAUCAGUACAACAGUUUGGCUGAUAAUAAGUUAUGAUUUAUCUAAGUUAGAAAUAGGAGAUGAAAAAGACAAAUUACGAAGGGCUUCAUUGAAGAUGUUUGGUUAGAAGAGGUAUGUGAUCCAUAUGAAUGCAGAAUGAGCUGUAAUUGGGAGAUGAUUGAGACCAAGAGAACACUUGGGCAGCUUUAGGUUAAGCAAGAUCUUGAUAGUGUCACUUUUUUUUUUUGCAGUACGCGGGCCUCUCACUGUUGUGGCCUCUCCCGUUGCGGAGCACAGGCUCCGGACGCGCAGGCUCAGCGGCCAUGGCUCACGGGCUCAGCCGCUCCGCGGCAUGUGGGAUCUUCCUGGACCAGGGCAUGAACUCGUGUCCCCUGCAUCGGCAGGCGGACUCACAGCCGCUGCGCCACCAGGGAAGCCCCGAUAGUGUCACUUUUGUGGCCCUUGUAGUUUCUCCAAAGUGCUAUCUUGGGACACGGGUUUAAGCCCUGGUCGGGGAAGCUCACAUGCCGCGGAGCAACUAAGCCUGUGCACCACAACUACUGAGCCCGUGUGCCACAACUACUGAAGCCUGCGCGCCUAGAGCCCAUGAUCCGCAACAAAAGAAGCCACUGCAAUGAGAAGGCCGUGCACCACAACGAAGAGUAUCUCCCGCUCGCCGAAAGUAGAGAAAGCCUGCGCACAGCAACAAAGACCCAACGCAGCCAUAAAUAAAUAAAUAAAUUUAAAAAUAAAACAGUGCUCAUCAGGGGACUUCCCUGGUGGUGCAGUGGAUAAGACUCCACGUCUUAUCCACUGGGGGCCCGGGUUCAAUCCCUGGUAAGGGAACUAGAUCCCACAUGUGUGCUGCAACUAAGAGUUCGCAUGCCACAACUAAGGAGCCCAUGAGCCACAACUUAAGACCCGGCACAACCAAACAAAUAAAUAUAUUUUUUUAAAAAGUGCUCAUCAGCAUAUUUUAUAGGUUAAAAGUCUCCACGGACUCUUAUUAUGGAUUGAUUUAGAAUAAAAUAAACCUUUCUGCCUAUUGUACUCUUUGCUGAUAUUAAUACUUCUAUUGUCAAUGUUUUUGGCUUGCUUUUGUUGUAUAGUAAUUUUCUUCUAUGGUAAAUAUGGAAAAAAAGCUGUAAGGUUAUUAUAAUGUUGUAUUUUUACAAUUAAAAUAAUUUUGAAACCUAGUAUUUAAAAUAGUACAGUUGGGCUUCCCUGCUGGCACAGUGGUUAAGAAUCCACCUGCCAGUGCAGGGGACAUGGGUUCGAGCUCUGGUCCAGGAAGAUCCCACAUGCUGCGGAGCAACUAAGCCUGUGCGCCACAGCUACUGAGCCUGCGCUCUAGAGCCUGCAAACCGCAACUACUGAGUCCACAAGCCACAACUACCGAAGCCUGCCCACCUAGAGCCCGUGCUCCGCAACAAGAGAAGGCACCGCAAUGAGAAGCACAUGCACUGCAACGAAGAGCAGCCCCCACUUGCCUCAACUAGAAGAAAGCCGCACACAGCAACGAAGACCCAACACAGCUAAAAAUAAUAAAUAAAAUUAAAAAUAAAAUAAAAUAGUACAGUUGGGGGCUUCCAGGGUGGUGUAGUGGUUAAGAAUCCUCCUACCAAUGCAGGGGACAUGGGUUCGAUCCUUGGUCCGGGAAGAUCCCACGUGCCCCGGAACAACCAAGCCCGUGCACCACAACUACUGAGCCGUGCGCUCUAGUGCCUGCGAGCCACAACUACUGAAGCCCACGCGCCUAGAGCCCGUGCUCCACAACAAGAGAAGCCACCACAAUGAGAAGCCCGCGCACUGCAACAAAGAGUAGCCCCCGCUCGCUGCAACUAGAGAAAUCCCAGGCAGAACAACAAAGACCCAGUGCAGCCAAAAAUAAAUAAUUAUUUUUAAAAAAACAGUUUAAAAAAGUAAAAGAUAAAAUAGUACAGUUGGACUAGUCAGAUUAGUUGUAGUAAUGGAACAGUUGUAUAGGUUGAAACUACUGACAGGCAAAUCAGUUUUUCUGUAGUCAGAGAAUCUUAGAAUUGACUUUAGGGCAAAAUGCUGUCCUUUGAAACACCUGACAGUUGGUCUUCCAGCCUCUGUGUGUAACAAUGAUGGGGAACAUCCUACUUCCCAAGGUUCCACCUUCCAUUUUUAUAUAACUCUAAUUGUUGAAAAUCUUCACCAUUGACUGGAGUUGCUAUUUCUAAAUUUCUCAAGUUACGUAAAAAAGAAAAGAUCUCUCUUACUUUGGUCAUAAUGUCCAAAUAAUUGGAAUGCAUAUAUCAAGUCCUCCAACUUUUUUUUUUUUUUGGCUGCUUGGAGCGACUUACAGAAUUGUAGUCCCCCAGCCUAGGGCCUGGGCAGUGAAAGUGCCGAGUCCUAACCGCUGGACCGCCAGGGAACUCCCCUCAAGUCCUCCAACUUUUGCCUUCCGCUGUCUAAACAUAACAUCCAUACUUUCAAUUUUUGCUUAUAAUAGUUAACAUUUAUUGAGUGCUUACUCUCACCCUGUUCGAAGUAAUUUAUAUAUGUUAACAAAUGUGUUAUAUAACACACCCCCAACUCCACGAGGUAGAUUUUUGUAAUUAUCUCAAUUUUAUAGAUGAGGGAACUGAGGCACGGAGAGGUGACUUAACCCUGGUCACAAACCUAGGACAUAGUGGAGCUUGGAUUUGAACCCAGGUAGCCUUGCUCCGGAAACUUUACUUUUAGCCAUAGUGUUGUCUUUAUGAGGAUACAGUUUUCAAAUUAUUUAAGACUGUCUAUGGAAGGCAUUUGUAUUCUGUAGCUUUUAACGUUCUUCAUAAAUAAAACGUUCACUAAAUAAUCUACUUAGUUUAUGAGUACAAUAAGACUGGCUUCUCUUUUUAUUGUGAAACCUAUUCUGUUGAUAAAUUGAGUGAGAACUGCACUGUUGUUUCCUUCAUCUUUUAGCAUCUAGAAUCUAAAUACCUGAAACCCUUUUUUUGGCCUUACUUUAGACAGUAGACUCUUUUUUUUAAAAUUAAUUAAUUAAUUAAUUUAUUUUUGGGUGUGUUGGGUCUUCGUUUCUGUGCGAGGGCUUUCUCUAGUUGCGGCGAGCAGGGGCCACUCUUCAACGCGGUACGUGGGCCUCUCACUAUCGCGGCCUCUCUUGUUGCGGAGCACAGGCUCCAGACGCGCAGGCUCAGUAGUUGUGGCUCACGGGCCCAGUCGCUCCACGGCAUGUGGGGUCCUCCCAGACCAGGGCUCGAAUCCGUGUCCCCUGCAUUGGCAGGCAGAUUCUCAACCCCUGUGCCACCAGGGAAGCCCCUGACAGUAGACUCUUUUAAUGCCAAUAUAGAAUACUAUAUCCAUCCUUGUUAAUCUUAGCUCAUUUUUCUAAAUAAAAUGUCAUUUCUUUAAUUAUUUUUAUAAUUUUAUAAUUAGAUUUAACUAGCCUGUCUUCUGUGUCUUUAUCCAGAUUUUUGUUAAGAAUUUUGAACAGUUCUGCCAUCUGCUAAUACAGAGUUUCUUCUGGAUUCAUAUUAAUCUUCUGUGUAACUAAUAAAUUAGCAACCAGUUCUCAUGACAAGUUUUUUUGUCACAGUCGCUUGAUUCUGAUUCUUUAUAAAUAGCUUUACUUUUUGGAAUAGACUAGAUAAUGGAAUACAGGCAGUUUUUCAAUAUUAAAAGGUUCUCCUUAGGUUACCAACUAUGUCUUGAUGUGUAACAAAUAUUAAUAACACUGGUCCCUGUGCUUUUCCUGUAUUAAAACUUGAAUGUCUGCUAUUCUUUUAUUAGGAUGACCGGGUCAGAAUUUGGGGCCUGAAGAUUUGGGGAUUGUACUGCUAAAAAGUAAUUAUCUUCCCCACCCCCUUAAAAGUAAUAUCUUCAGAAGCAGUUUUGAAUCUACAGAUGGGCACUUGAGCCCCUGCCAAAGCUGUACAUCAUACAGCAUGAUGCUGUCAUUUCAACCUGGAAGAUUUUUCAGUUGUUAUUACCAUCAUUAUUGCUGAGGAGAUUUCAAAUUGUCCAGAUAGGGUAGAUAGAGGGAAAAGUUGUCUGAUAAAAGAUUGCAAAGGUCAGGACAAAUUGAGGUCAAAUUAUGGAAAGCCUUAAUUUCCAUGCACAGUUUGAAUAUCUUUUGCUCUCUAGUAAUUCCCAGCCUGUGAUCCCCAAGCUUCCAGAGGAGUCUUAGAGUUUUGUAGGUUAAUAGUUUUGUAGAUUUGUAUAUUUUGGAGAUUAAACCCUUGUUGGUUUCUUCACUUGCAUAUAUUUUCUUCCAUUCUGAGGGUUGGCUUUUUGUUUUGUUUAUGGUUUCCUUUGCUGUGCAAAAGCUUUUAAGUUUAAUUAGAUCCCAUUUGUUUAUUUUUGUUUUAAUUUUCAUUACUCUAGGAAGUGGAUCAAAAAAGACCUUGUUGCAGUUUAUGUCAAAGAGUGUUCUGCCUAUGUUUUCCUGUAAGAGUUUUAUAGUGUCUGGCCUUACAUUUAGGUCUUUGAUCCAUUUUAAGUUUAUUUUUGUGUAUGAUGUUUGGGAGUGUUCUAAUUUCAUUCUUUUACAUGUAGCUGUCCAGUUUUCCCAGCAUCGCUUAUUGAAGAGACUGUCUUUUCUCCAUUGUAUAUUCUUACCUCCUUCGUCAUAGAUUAGGUGACAGUAGGUGCGUGGGUUUAUCUCUGGGCUUUUUACCCUGUUCCAUUGAUCUGUAUUUCUGUUUUUGUGCCAGUACCAUACUCUCUCGAUUACUGUAGCUUUGUAGUAUAGUCUGAAGUCAGGGAGCCUGAUUCCUCCAGUUCCAUUUUUCUUUCUCAAGAUUGCUUUGGCCAUUUGGGGUCUUUUGUGUUUCCAUACAAAUUGUAAAAUGUUUUGUUCUAAUUCUAUGAAAAAAUGCCAUUGGUAAUUUGAUGGGGAUUGCAUUGAAUCUGUAGAUCGCUUUGGGUAGUAUAGUCAUUUUCAUAGUAUUGAUUGUUCUGAUCCAAGAACAUCGUAUAUCUCUCCAUCUGUUUGUUCAUCUUUGAUUUUUUUCAUCAGUAUCUUAUAGUUUUCUUUUGUAAAAAAUAAAUUUAUUUAUUUUUAUGUAUUUGGCUGUGUCAGGUCUUAGUUCCAGCGUGCAGAAUCUUUGUUGCGGCAUGUGGGAUCUGUUGUUUCAGUGAGCAGGCUUCUCUCUAGUUGUGGUGUGUGGGCUCUUGAGCGUGGGGGCUCAGUAGUUGCGGCACGCGGGCUCUCUAGUUGUGGUGCACAGGCUCCAGAGCAUGCAGGCUUAGUUGCCCCAUGACGUGUGAUCUUACUUCCGCAACCAGAGAUCGAACCCGUGUCCCCUGCAUUGGAAGGCGGAUUCUUAACCACUGGACCACGAGGGAAGUUCCAGUAUCUUAUAGCUUUCUGAGUACAGGUCUUUGGCCUCCUUAGGUGGGUUUAUUCAUAGGUGUUUUAUUCUUUUUGUUGUGAUGGUAAAUGGGACUAUUUCCUUAAUUUCUCUUUCUGAUCUUUCGUUGUUAGUGUAUAGGAAUGCAAGAGAUUUCUGUGUAUUAAUUUUGUAUCCUGCAACUUUACCAAAUUCAUUGAUUAGCUCUAGUAGUUUUCUAAUAGCAUCUUUAGGAUUUUCUGUGUAUAGUAUCAUGUUAUCUGCAAAUUAAUUCUCAUUAAGCUGUUUAAAUACCAGAACAUUAAUAGCAGAAUGGAGAGAACUGAUCUUUCUCUAUUCCCCCUUUCUUCUUUGCUGUGA